ensembl:lncRNA
CUGAUGUAAGUGGGAGUGUGGCUGAACGAGUCAUUUUGCCCAGGUUACUUACAGCCAGUGAGCUUCAAAGCAAGCAUCUGAGUGAGGGCUGACUCCCCAGCCCUGCUCUGCCCUGCACCAGGCAUCACGAGCUCCAAGCCCUCAGGGCCCAUCAGCCUCACUGUGAAGCUCAAAGGAUCAUAGUUCCCUGACCAGGGAUCGAACCUGCGCCCCCUGCAGUGGAAGCACAGGGUCUUAACCACUGGACCACCAGGGAAGUCCCCAUAGUUUAUGAUUCUUUCCGUUAAACUACGUUAAAAAUCAUGUCCUUUCUGUCUCUUGAUUGACAGAAGUAUACUUAGAAGAAAGGGAUGAAAAUCAUUCAACUAUACAAAAACCAUCAACUAUAACAGCUGGGACUUUACAGAGGUCCACAUUUAUUUACUUGGAAGGUCAAAUGCCUAAGCUUAUGAUAUUUUAUAAAAAGGAAGUGGUGAAGUCUAGUUUAUUUUUUCCUUGGUUGCUUGCACUUGUGGUUUCAUAUCUAAGAAACCAUUGCCUAAGUCAAGAGACAUUACUUUGCCAACAAAGGUCUGUCUAGUUAAGGCUAUGGUUUUUCCAGUAGUCAUGUAUGGAUGUGAGAGUUGUACUAUAAAGAAAGCUGCUGCUGCUGCUAAGUCACUUCAGUCGUGUCUGACUCUGAAGAAAGCUGAGUGCUGAAGAAUUGAUGCUUUUGAACUGUGGUAUUAAAGAACACUCGUGAGAGUCCCUUGGACUGCAAGGAGAUCCAACCAGUCCAUCCUAAAGGAAAUCAGUCCUGAAUAUUCAUUGGAAGGACUGAGGCUGAAGCUGAAACUCCAAUACUUUGGCCACCUGAUGCAAAGAGCUGACUCAUUUGAAAAGACCCUGAUGCUGGGAAAGAUUGAAGGUGGGAGGAGAAGGGGAUGACAGAGGAUGAGAUGUUGGAUGGCAUCACUGACUCAAUGGAUAUGAGUUUGAGUAAACUCCGGGAGUUGGUGAUGGAGGGAAACCUGGUGUGCUACAGUCCAUGGGGUCGCAAAGAGUCAGACACGACUGAGCAACUGAACUGAACUGAGGUCAAGGUCAUAAAGAUUCAGACCUAGGCUGUCUUCUAAGAGUUUUAUGGUUUUAGUUCACACACUUGUUUAGCAAAUUAACCUGUACUGCCCCCCCCCCAAAAAAUCCUAAAGUAAAAUAUAAUUUUAACUUUUUCUACCUUUUUGCAAUUUCAAACAUGUCUUUCAUGACAAUAAUCAUUCUGCUAUAAAG